AAGCAGAGGUAAGACUGUGUGGAGGACCGAACCCACCAGGGUUGAAAACCUGGGGGAUGAACUGUGGGUAGGGGUGAAAGGCCAAUCAAACUCCGUGAUAGCUGGUUCUCCCCGAAAUGCAUUUAGGUGCAGCGUUGCAUGUUUCUUGCCGGAGGUAGAGCGACUGGAUGGCUGAUGGGCCCGCGAGGGUUACUGACGUUAGCUAAACUCCGAAUGCCGGUAAGUGAGAGUGUAGCAGUGAGACAGUGGGGGAUAAGCUUCAUUGUCGAGAGGGAAACAGCCCAGACCAUCAACUAAGGCCCCUAAGCGUGUGCUAAGUGGGAAAGGAUGUGGAGUUGCUUAGACAACCAGGAGGUUGGCUUAGAAGCAGCCAUCCUUGAAAGAGUGCGUAACAGCUCACUGGUCAAGUGAUUCUGCGCCGAUAAUGUAGCGGGGCUCAAGUACACCGCCGAAGUUGUGGCAAUGAUCUUUUUUGGAUUGUUGGGUAGGGGAGCGUCGUGUAGCCGGUGAAGCUGCGGUGUAAACCAGUGGUGGAGGCUAUGCGAGUGAGAAUGCAGGCAUGAGUAGCGAAAGAUGAGUGAGAAACUCAUCCGCCGGAUGAUCAAGGGUUCCAGGGUCAAGUUAAUCUGCCCUGGGUUAGUCGGGGCCUAAGGCGAGGCCGACAGGCGUAGUCGAUGGAUAACGGGUUGAUAUUCCCGUACCGGUGAAAAACCGCCCAUACUGAUAUUGUGAUGCUAACCAUGCGAAGCAUGAUGUGCAGGCUUUUGUUUGUGUGUUGUGUGGGUUGUGGGACCCGAUCUUUGGAGGUAAACGUAUUAACAGGUGUGACGCAGGAAGGUAGCCAAGCCACGCGAUGGUUGUCGUGGUCUAAGCGUGUAGGGUUGUCGGUUGUUAAAUGCGCCGGCUGUGUGCCUGAGACGUGAUGGGACCCCGUUUUUGGGGGAUUUGGUGAUCCUAUGCUGCCGAGAAAAGCAUCGGCGUGAGGUUUUAGCCGCCCGUACCCUAAACCGACACAGGUGAUCAGGUAGAGAAUACUAAGGCGAUCGAGAGAAUCAUGGUUAAGGAACUCGGCAAAAUGCCCCCGUAACUUCGGGAGAAGGGGGACCUUGAGCGUGAUGGGCACUUGCUGCCUGGAGCGUGUAUGGGUCGCAGAGACCAGGGGGAAGCGACUGUUUAUCAAAAACACAGGUCCGUGCGAAGUCGUAAGACGAUGUAUACGGACUGACUCCUGCCCGGUGCUGGAAGGUUAAGAGGAUUGGUUAGCUCUUUUGGGCGAAGCUGAGAAUUUAAGCCCCAGUAAACGGCGGUGGUAACUAUAACCAUCCUAAGGUAGCGAAAUUCCUUGUCGGGUAAGUUCCGACCUGCACGAAUGGCGUAACGACUUCCCUACUGUCUCAACCAUGAACUCGGCGAAAUUGCAGUACGAGUAAAGAUGCUCGUUUCGCGCAGCAGGACGGAAAGACCCCGUGACCUUUACUAUAGUUUGGUAUUGGUGUUUGGUUUGGCUUGUGUAGGAUAGGUGGGAGACUGUGAAGCAUGGACGCUAGUUUGUGUGGAGUCGUUGUUGAAAUACCACUCUGGUCAAUCUGGAUGUCUAACUUCGGGCCAUGAUCUGGUUCAGGGACAGUGCCUGAUGGGUAGUUUAACUGGGGCGGUUGCCUCCUAAAGUGUAACGGAGGCGCCCAAAGGUUCCCUCAGCCUGGUUGGCAAUCAGGUGUUGAGUGUAAGUGCACAAGGGAGCUUGACUGUGAGACUGGCAGGUCGAGCAGGGACGAAAGUCGGGACUAGUGAUCCGGCGGUACGUUGUGGAACGGCCGUCGCUCAACGGAUAAAAGGUACCUCGGGGAUAACAGGCUGAUCUUGCCCAAGAGUCCAUAUCGACGGCAUGGUUUGGCACCUCGAUGUCGGCUCGUCGCAUCCUGGGGCUGGAGUCGGUCCCAAGGGU
rnacentral:rRNA from 1 species